rnacentral:rRNA from 1 species
GGGUUGUGAGGUUAAGCGACUAAGCGUACACGGUGGAUGCCCUGGCAGUCAGAGGCGAUGAAGGACGUGCUAAUCUGCGAAAAGCGUCGGUAAGGUGAUAUGAACCGUUAUAACCGGCGAUGUCCGAAUGGGGAAACCCAGUGCAAUUCGUUGCACUAUCGUUAACUGAAUACAUAGGUUAACGAGGCGAACCGGGGGAACUGAAACAUCUAAGUACCCCGAGGAAAAGAAAUCAACCGAGAUUCCCCCAGUAGCGGCGAGCGAACGGGGAGCAGCCCAGAGUCUGAAUCAGCUUGUGUGUUAGUGGAACGGUCUGGAAAGUCCGACGGUACAGGGUGAUAGUCCCGUACACCAAAAUGCACAGGUUGUGAACUCGAAGAGUAGGGCGGGACACGUGGUAUCCUGUCUGAAUAUGGGGGGACCAUCCUCCAAGGCUAAAUACUCCUGACUGACCGAUAGUGAACCAGUACCGUGAGGGAAAGGCGAAAAGAACCCCGGCGAGGGGAGUGAAAAAGAACCUGAAACCGUGUACGUACAAGCAGUGGGAGCACCUUCGGGUGUGACUGCGUACCUUUUGUAUAAUGGGUCAGCGACUUAUAUUCUGUAGCAAGGUUAACCGUAUAGGGGAGCCGCAGGGAAACCGAGUCUUAACUGGGCGUUAAGUUGCAGGGUAUAGACCCGAAACCCGGUGAUCUAGCCAUGGGCAGGUUGAAGGUUGGGUAACACUAACUGGAGGACCGAACCGACUAAUGUUGAAAAAUUAGCGGAUGACUUGUGGCUGGGGGUGAAAGGCCAAUCAAACCGGGAGAUAGCUGGUUCUCCCCGAAAGCUAUUUAGGUAGCGCCUCGUGAACUCAUCUUCGGGGGUAGAGCACUGUUUCGGCUAGGGGGUCAUCCCGACUUACCAACCCGAUGCAAACUACGAAUACCGAAGAAUGUUAUCACGGGAGACACACGGCGGGUGCUAACGUCCGUCGUGAAGAGGGAAACAACCCAGACCGCCAGCUAAGGUCCCAAAGUCAUGGUUAAGUGGGAAACGAUGUGGGAAGGCACAGACAGCCAGGAUGUUGGCUUAGAAGCAGCCAUCAUUUAAAGAAAGCGUAAUAGCUCACUGGUCGAGUCGGCCUGCGCGGAAGAUGUAACGGGGCUAAACCAUGCACCGAAGCUGCGGCAGCGACACUAUGUGUUGUUGGGUAGGGGAGCGUUCUGUAAGCCUGCGAAGGUGACCUGUGAGGGUUGCUGGAGGUAUCAGAAGUGCGAAUGCUGACAUAAGUAACGAUAAAGCGGGUGAAAAGCCCGCUCGCCGGAAGACCAAGGGUUCCUGUCCAACGUUAAUCGGGGCAGGGUGAGUCGACCCCUAAGGCGAGGCCGAAAGGCGUAGUCGAUGGGAAACAGGUUAAUAUUCCUGUACUUGGUGUUACUGCGAAGGGGGGACGGAGAAGGCUAUGUUAGCCGGGCGACGGUUGUCCCGGUUUAAGCAUGUAGGCUGGUUGUCCAGGCAAAUCCGGAUAAUCAAGGCUGAGGUGUGAUGACGAGGCACUACGGUGCUGAAGUAACAAAUGCCCUGCUUCCAGGAAAAGCCUCUAAGCAUCAGGUAACAUUAAAUCGUACCCCAAACCGACACAGGUGGUCAGGUAGAGAAUACCAAGGCGCUUGAGAGAACUCGGGUGAAGGAACUAGGCAAAAUGGUGCCGUAACUUCGGGAGAAGGCACGCUGGUGUGUAGGUGAAGUCCCUGCGGAUGGAGCUGAGACCAGUCGAAGAUACCAGCUGGCUGCAACUGUUUAUUAAAAACACAGCACUGUGCAAACACGAAAGUGGACGUAUACGGUGUGACGCCUGCCCGGUGCCGGAAGGUUAAUUGAUGGGGUUAUCCGUAAGGAGAAGCUCUUGAUCGAAGCCCCGGUAAACGGCGGCCGUAACUAUAACGGUCCUAAGGUAGCGAAAUUCCUUGUCGGGUAAGUUCCGACCUGCACGAAUGGCGUAAUGAUGGCCAGGCUGUCUCCACCCGAGACUCAGUGAAAUUGAACUCGCUGUGAAGAUGCAGUGUACCCGCGGCAAGACGGAAAGACCCCGUGAACCUUUACUAUAGCUUGACACUGAACAUUGAGCCUUGAUGUGUAGGAUAGGUGGGAGGCUUUGAAGCGUGGACGCCAGUCUGCGUGGAGCCAACCUUGAAAUACCACCCUUUAAUGUUUGAUGUUCUAACGUUGGCCCCUUAUCGGGGUUGCGGACAGUGUCUGGUGGGUAGUUUGACUGGGGCGGUCUCCUCCCAAAGCGUAACGGAGGAGCACGAAGGUUAGCUAAUCCUGGUCGGACAUCAGGAGGUUAGUGCAAUGGCAUAAGCUAGCUUGACUGCGAGCGUGACGGCGCGAGCAGGUGCGAAAGCAGGUCAUAGUGAUCCGGUGGUUCUGAAUGGAAGGGCCAUCGCUCAACGGAUAAAAGGUACUCCGGGGAUAACAGGCUGAUACCGCCCAAGAGUUCAUAUCGACGGCGGUGUUUGGCACCUCGAUGUCGGCUCAUCACAUCCUGGGGCUGAAGUAGGUCCCAAGGGUAUGGCUGUUCGCCAUUUAAAGUGGUACGCGAGCUGGGUUUAGAACGUCGUGAGACAGUUCGGUCCCUAUCUGCCGUGGGCGCUGGAGAAUUGAGGGGGGCUGCUCCUAGUACGAGAGGACCGGAGUGGACGCAUCACUGGUGUUCGGGUUGUCAUGCCAAUGGCACUGCCCGGUAGCUAAAUGCGGAAGAGAUAAGUGCUGAAAGCAUCUAAGCACGAAACUUGCCCCGAGAUGAGUUCUCCCUGAGACUUUAAGUCUCCUGAAGGAACGUUAAAGACGAUGACGUUGAUAGGCCGGGUGUGUAAGCGCAGCGAUGCGUUGAGCUAACCGGUACUAAUGAACCGUGAGGCUUAACCUUACAACGCCGAAG